GAUGAACGCUGGCGGCGUGCCUAAUACAUGCAAGUCGAGCGAACAGACGAGGAGCUUGCUCCUCUGACGUUAGCGGCGGACGGGUGAGUAACACGUGGAUAACCUACCUAUAAGACUGGGAUAACUUCGGGAAACCGGAGCUAAUACCGGAUAAUAUAUUGAACCGCAUGGUUCAAUAGUGAAAGACGGUUUUGCUGUCACUUAUAGAUGGAUCCGCGCCGCAUUAGCUAGUUGGUAAGGUAACGGCUUACCAAGGCAACGAUGCGUAGCCGACCUGAGAGGGUGAUCGGCCACACUGGAACUGAGACACGGUCCAGACUGUUACGGGAGGCAGCAGUAGGGAAUCUUCCGCAAUGGGCGAAAGCCUGACGGAGCAACGCCGCGUGAGUGAUGAAGGUCUUCGGAUCGUAAAACUCUGUUAUUAGGGAAGAACAAAUGUGUAAGUAACUAUGCACGUCUUGACGGUACCUAAUCAGAAAGCCACGGCUAACUACGUG
rnacentral:rRNA from 1 species